AUGUACCUCGAGGCCCGGCGGUCGGCGGGGUGGGUGCCUCUGCCGCAGCCGGCACACAGCUUCCCUCGCUUGCCGCAGAACCCCUUUCUCAGCCCACCCUGCUGCUGCCAGAGUGGGCACAUCCACGCGGCUUGGAUGUGGCUCCCGCCGCCCUCCUGUUUGCGGGGGUGGACCCGACAGGGGGCACGGCCGGAGGUCGCCUCCCUCUCCCCCCCCCCGCACACCGCUUGGAGGGGUCACAAUGCGGGGGCAAGCAAGGGCAAACCAUCUCUGAACAUCUUUUGCCUUGAAUGCCCUUGGAGGCCGCCAUCAGUCGGCGGGGUCUUGAUGGCAAAGCGACACGGUGUUUGCAUGCUGUGGGCUUGGGAAAGACAGAAUUCCGUUUGGCUACGGAAUGAUUUUCUUCUUGCCCGUGGUUCCAGAGAACGGGGAAGUGUCAGGCUUUGCAUGAAUUUGUACGAUUCCCCCAUGCCUUGUCGGCAGGCCUUCCCCCAACCCGUAAGCUCCAAUAUCAGGCUCUUGCCAGGUGAUACUAUUCUCCCUAAAGACCCAGCUCAUGGGCCAUUAAUUAUCCUUGGUGAGGCCAGACCAGGGAAUUAUUUGCCCUGCAAUUCAGUUCCAUUCUCGGGGACAUUUGAACGGGCGCCUGUGGCAGACUGACAGAGCCGUCAGAACCUGCCUGGAGCGACAGACAAGGAAGCAAAUUUGCCUCUCCAUCAGGGCCCAAAGACGGAGUCACAGAGUUGGGAGGUCCCAGAGAGGCCAUUGAGCUAGCCCACCCCUGCUCCAUAGAGCAUCCCUGACAGGUGUUUUCUCCAGGCCCUGCUUGAAGAUGAGACCCAGCUAGGAGAAUGGAUUUCUCUUAAGGGCUCCACCAAUCCAGCACCAAAUACAGCUCAUAUAGAGUUAUAGAGUUGGCAGCGGCUAUGGGGGCCUCCGUCCAACCCCCUGCCAUGCAGGAACCCAGUUUGAUCCAAAGGAGGUGCAGGAAGUCCAAGGCCCAUUUAUGUUGAACGAGGCUCUGGGAGUAUGCGUACAUCUUCCCCUGAGUUUGGUUGCUGGCCUUUGUAGCCCACAUUCUUUGAUUGGCAUCAGUGCCUCGGGAUCUCAAACCAGGAUCCUUCUUAGCCCUGAUCCCAGUGGUAGCUGGCGAGGCUGGGGGAUCGCAAUUAUGACCUUCCAUGUGACAGGCACACACCUGUCUAUCACUGAACUGCGCCCCCAUGCCGCUGCCGCCUUAUCCGCCCCCGGGCUUUCCUUCCCUCUCCGCUGUGGCAGGAGGAGGCCCAACAGCUUGCCCUGCCCCCCCCCCCGCUGGCCUCGCGAGCAGUGGGGCGGGCGCCCCGGCCCUCUCUGCAGCGGCGGCGGGGGUGGGUGAAUGGCUUGCCCCUGUCUCCUCUCCCGCAGUGGCGCUUGCUCAUUGGUGCAGGGGGGGGGAGAGGCCGGUGGCUCCUCCCCACCAGCCGCAGGGGCACUCUCUUGGCCCUCUCCGCUGCGGUGGGAGGGGGCCCAACAGCUCGAUCCAUUCCCCAUCCUCCCAGCAUGGGCGGCGGGGCAGGCGCUUUCCUGGCCUAAGUCGCUCCCCUGUCCCCCGCAGGAGUCCCCUCCUCGGCUGCUGAGGGUGCUUAAUCAGGCGACAUUCGGGUGCGCUGGUGUGCGGCCAGCGGCGGGGCAGGGGGGGCUUGCCCAACCCUCUCCGUUGCGAUUGGUGAGGGCCCACAUCGCAUGCCCCACCCGCCUGGUCAGCUGGGCAGGCGAGGGAAGCGAGAGCAAGUGGGGGAUGGGUAUGGUCUGGGCGGCCAGUUUACAGCUCCUCUCGCUGGCCUCCAUUACCACAUUGCGUGCACUCCCGGGCGCAGCUGGCCGAUUAGGGCACAAGUUGUGUGACGGUGGUGGAGGGGAGUGGCCUUCCCCUGGCCGGCUGCCUGCCAGUGUGUAUCACACCUUGCCUUUCGGCAUGGCCUCGCCCCGACCUGGAGGGUUGGGGUGCUCACAGAUGGGCGCACCCGCAAUCCACUCCAAUGGGCUUUCCUUGGGGCAGGUGAGUGUGCGGGGCACGCUCAGAUCGCUGCACUCUUGCUCCAGAGUGGUUCUCUGCUGUCUCCUGCAAAUGAGCCUCCGCGGCUCGGGAGGAGGAGUGGGGAAUCAGGCUCUUACCCACCCUGCCAGGUUGGCCCUCCAGCUCAUUGGUGCCAUCGGGGAGCUCUUCAUGCCAGUGGUUCUCAACCUUCCCAAUGCUGUGACCCUUUAUACAGUUCCGCAGGUUGCGGUGCCCCCAACCAAAAACUGGUAUUUAUAAAAUAUAAAAGGACCAUUUUCUGAUUGUCUUAGGCGACUUCCGUGAAAGGGGUCCCGACCCCUAGGUUGGGAACCACCGCUUUACAUGAAAGGCUUGGAUUUAUACCUGCCUUUCUGUCCUAUCGGGAUUCUCAAGGCCUUGCCAGACCAUAAGGCACACAACGGAGGGUUCCGCGCUUGCUGGCCACAAGGACCAUGGAACACAGGUUUGGGUUUAUACCUGACUUUCCCUCCUUUAGGGAGCCUCUAGGCCUCCCCAGCCUGCAGCGCGCACAUUGGAGAGGUCCACAACAGCUGGCCGCAGGGGCAGUGGGGAAACAGCUGCUGCCCGGGGAAUAAGAUAUUUUUCCUGGGCAGGGCCGGGGUGCAGGUGGCCCGCCAGGCAUCGUCCCCAUGGUGCAGGCAUGCAUAACCGGACAGGGUAGAUGCACGUGCGGUGGAACCCCUCGGGCAGCCAGCUUCCCGGCCACCUAGCGCCAUGGGGCAAGUGGUCUCAGGCAUUGGUUGUGACCCCUGCGACCCCCGGGUGGCACCUGGGUAGUGGCCGAGGGCAGCAGGGCGAGUUACUCCCGCCACGCCAUUCCCCCACAGGGUGGCAGGCGGUAUUGCUCCCCCCCACCCUCCAGGUUGGGGGGAACAACGGCCAUCGGGCAUGGGGCGGGAGGAUAGUGGACAGCAUGGGGAGGGGUGUGGGGUGCCAUGGCAGUGAGCCUGUCAAGAGGUCCUCUUGACUUGCACCCCUCCUUGGCCCUCAGAGUUCAGAAGGACAUGCCAGCAGAAAACUUCGCCGCAGAGGGGGCGGGGGCACACCCUGGCCUUCUCGUGGGCAUGGCUGGUGCUUGCAGUGGGCCCCGCACGUUGGUUGGGACGCGAGGUCAUCCCCAACGGUCCCUUGCCCCCUGACCUGGUGACAUAUGAGGCAUCAGAGUUCCAGGGCAUGGCAGGCUGGCAACGCUGGAUGCUUGCACCAGCCGGACAGUGGACUGCGCUGGGCAUACUAUACCGGCCCACCUGUCCUGCGGUCGGGAGGUUUGGCCAUGGCAACCAGCAGGUCACCCCUGGAGCUGGCCGUGGCCGGGUCGCUUGCUCAGAGCAGGUCAGGCACCCUGUUGGGCUAUGUGUAACCUGUUGCAGGGUUGACUAACAUCUUUUGUGCGGUGAAGUAUCUUCCAGGCGGAGGAAUCGGCAUGGCUGACACGUUGACUCACUUGCGGUUGUCUAGCACCCGGGGUGGUCUAGCACCCGGGGUGGCCAGACUCAGGUUGGAUCCGUCCAUGCAAGACCGUUGGAACAGCGGCAGCAGUGGACAACUCGGAGGGUCGUGGCCUCUCGCGGCUUGGAAUCACGUAAUUAGCAGUGGGGAACCCUAGGGACUGCCCGGAUGCAGGCAUGGGCACACGUCGGGACCAGAGGCAGUUCACGAGUGGCAUUCUCACCCCGGUAGGGGGUGCCGCCCCGGUUAGGCCAUAUUCGCAUCAAUAUUCUGCAGGCUCGCGGGGCAGUGAGCUAGUCGCGGCCCCACGCGAUGUCACCAGGACCUGGGCCCUGGUGGUGGGCAAGGUUCCAGCCCGGGUCGGCCGCAGGGGCUAGGCCUGGGAGGAUAGCAUCUGGCCCGGGCUCCCAAGGCACAUGGUAAUGGCAGUCUUCCCCUCUUGGGCACUGCUCAACAUUCCGCGCUCAACCCGGUGGACCUCCCCUUCCCAUUCACGGCACGGUGGGCUCUUCGGGGGGCGGGGGGGUGCCCGCCUGCCCGGGCAGUGGGCAGCCCCCCCCCACAUCCACGCAUCUCCUGGACGGCUUCUGGGAGCCCUCGGGGGCCAUCUGCCCAAAGCAAUACGAAGCCCUCUGGUUCCAGGUGGUCUUCUUACUGGCCUUUUGGGGGAACCCCUUUUUGCAGCAGUAACUUGGUGCUGGCCUCACUCAGAGAAUGGACUGGGGAAGCCCUGAGGGUGUGGAAAAUAGCUAUCCAGGUUGCCCACCUGCUCACCUGGCUGCGACAGUCCAAGGCCGACCAAGAGCGCCCCCCAGUGAUGCUGCAGGCAGUGUCAGCGAGCAACUUGUGCCCCACGCCAACCAGGGGAGGCCCCCCUCCCAGCAUGUAGGGACUUGGCUUCCGGGACCGGUAGCAACUGGCCUGCAUUACCCGCCUGACUUUGGCAGGAUGGUGGGUUCCAGCCAGGCCGUGGGUCGCACUCCUUUGGGAUCAGGGCCGCUGCUGUGGCUGCGGCCUUGGGUGCUCCCAUAGCCGGGGUACAGGCGGCGGGCCGAAGGUGGUCCUCGGCCUGCAGGUGGGCUCUGGGCGCCCCUUCCCGGCACAUUAACUUGUCCUUUUCUUUUCUCAGUCCCACUAGGAGGCGCAGGAUAGCAGGUGUGGAUUGUGGCCACUGCAUUGUGCAUUGGACAUCUCGCUGGGCCGCCACCUCCGCACGACAAGCUGCUCGGCUUGGCUCGCAUUGGCUGGAUUAUAUGAAGAUGAAAUUAAAAGACAACCAUUGCAUUCUGAUCAACCAGCAUCUAGAGUGGCCAGUCAUCCUAGACUACCAGUUCAAAGAGUUCCUGGCAACGUAAUUUAACACAAGACUGGUAUGAUGAAAUAAAUGGAAUGUUACAUAAAUAUUUCUUGGCAGUCUUAAAGUUGACUCCUUCAGAAGUUUGAGAAAACCAGAAAGAAGUAUG